GACAGAGGUGCCAAGCGUUAGGCGGAAUCACUGGGCUUAAAGCGUGUGUAGGCGGAUCGUUAAGUACCUUGUGAAAUCCCACGGCUCAACCGUGGAACUGCUGGGUAUACUGGCGAUCUUGAGCCACCUAGGGGCGAGCGGAACAAGCGGUGGAGCGGUGAAAUGCGUAGAUAUCUGGAGGAACACCGGUGGCGAAGGCGACAUCCUGGACCGGUAUUGACGCUGAGGCGCGAAAGCCAGGGGAGCAAACGGG
rnacentral:rRNA from 1 species